GCCCGUACCGUAAACCGACACAGGUGGGUGGGAUGAGUAUUCUAAGGCGCGUGGAAGAACUCUCUUUAAGGAACUCUGCAAAAUAGCACCGUAUCUUCGGUAUAAGGUGUGCCUAGCUUCGUUAAGAAUUUACUUCGUAAGCGAAGAAGGUUACAACAAAGAGUCCCUCCCGACUGUUUACCAUAAACACAGCACUCUGCUAACUCGUAAGAGGAUGUAUAGGGUGUGACGCCUGCCCGGUGCUCGAAGGUUAAUUGAUGACGUUAGCUUACGCAAAGCGUCUGAUCGAAGCCCGAGUAAACGGCGGCCGUAACUAUAACGGUCCUAAGGUAGCGAAAUUCCUUGUCGGUUAAAUACCGACCUGCAUGAAUGGCGUAACGAGAUGGGAGCUGUCUCAAAGAGGGAUCCAGUGAAAUUGUAGUGGAGGUGAAAAUUCCUCCUACCCGCGGCAAGACGGAAAGACCCCGUGGACCUUUACUAUAGCUUGACACUGCUACUUGGAUAAAGAUGCGCAGGAUAGGUGGGAGGCUUCGAUUCGUAGAUCUCGGUUUACGAUGAGCCAUUGUUGAGAUACCACUCUUCUUUAUUCGGGUAGCUAACUAGCCUAAGUUAUCCUUAGGUAGGACAAUGUCUGGUGGGUAGUUUGACUGGGGCGGUCGCCUCCCAAAAUGUAACGGAGGCUUACAAAGGUUGGCUCAAAGCGGUUGGAAAUCGCUUGCAGAGUAUAAAGGCAAAAGCCAGCUUAACUGCGAGACAUACACGUCGAGCAGAGACGAAAGUCGGUCUUAGUGAUCCGGUGGUUCUGUGUGGAAGGGCCAUCGCUCAAAGGAUAAAAGGUACCCCGGGGAUAACAGGCUGAUCUCCCCCAAGAGCUCACAUCGACGGGGAGGUUUGGCACCUCGAUGUCGGCUCAUCGCAUCCUGGGGCUGGAGCAGGUCCCAAGGGUUGGGCUGUUCGCCCAUUAAAGCGGUACGCGAGCUGGGUUCAGAACGUCGUGAGACAGUUCGGUCCCUAUCUGCCGUGGGCGUAAGAAGAUUGAGGAGAGUUGACCCUAGUACGAGAGGACCGGGUUGAACCGACCACUGGUGUACCGGUUGUUCUGCCAAGAGCACCGCCGGGUAGCUAAGUCGGGAUGCGAUAAGAGCUGAAAGCAUCUAAGCUCGAAGCCGACUCCAAGAUGAAUCUUCUUUUAAGAGCUCUAGUAGACUACUAGUUUGAUAGGCCGGAUGUGUAAUGGAUGAAAGUCCUUUAGCUGACCGGUACUAAUAGCUCGUUUGCUUAUCUUU
rnacentral:rRNA from 1 species